GCGCCAUAAUCACGAACUUUGCUCGAUAUAAAACCGAAGGCAAGCUUCAAAACACCUGUGAUUACUUCAGACAUCGUAUUACAACUAAGUCCAGUUGAACAAUGAGGAAAUAUUGUGGCGACAAUGACUAUAUUGAGGAACAGUCACAGGGUUGGUAAGUUAGAUGAAUAAUUAGGCCAAAUCGUGAUCAUGAUUAAUGCCGUUUAGAAAACAAAGAAAACAGAAGGCCAAGACAAAGAAAACAAAGGCCCAGUGUGACGGUGUUUGGCCCAAUUAUUCAGCAAACCUACGAACCUGUC
rnacentral:lncRNA from 1 species